CAGCAAUUAAGCUAUCCUAGCACAUACUAGUAACUACAAAAAAAUUAGGCUAAGAUAGGGUCUACCUUUUCACAUCCGCAUUAAGCGAAACUAUCUGUCAUACUCUAGAACCAGAUAAAGAAUGAAUCUAUUAAAAAUAGGAUUGUCAUUCCCUCCAAAUUUUAAGGAAUGCAUUUAUCUGUCAAGUACCUAGGUGUUGACAUGCUGGGUUUAACUACUGGGUACUAUCUGGUACCAACAUUGGUUUAAGUAAUUUGCAACUAUGGAGCAAUCUAUAACUUGAGGCCAUGGUUUAGCAACAAUAAUUUACAAAAAAAAACUGACAGACCAGAUUGACAUUAACAUUCUUAUCACUAUUGAUCCUUAUGAUUUGAACAAAAUAAACAAAUAGUUAAUAUGUGCUCAGUAUUCAUUAAAAUCUAAAAUAGGCCAAAUUGACCUGCAAGGUAAAAUCAAUGCAAAAUCAAUGGCAGUUCCUAAUUCUAUUCAAUCAACAAAACAAUGAAACAAUAUCCCAUAUUAUUAUUUACUUUCCUCAUCCAAUAAUGGUUUUCCUUGCGUUUCAGAUCGGGUAUGUUAGGAGGGACCAUCUUAACGGUAUCAUAUCUGUGUAGUAUGUAUAUUUAUGUAUGAUUUUUAAAUAAAUUAUUUUAUGAAAC